rnacentral:rRNA from 1 species
UACGGGGGGUGCAAGCGUUACUCGGAAUCACUGGGCGUAAAGGGCGCGUAGGCGGCCUAGCAAGUCUGGUGUGAAAGCCCAGGGCUCAACCCUGGAAGGGCACUGGAAACUGUUAGGCUUGAGUUCCGGAGAGGAGGGGGGAAUUCACGGUGUAGCGGUGAAAUGCGUAGAUAUCGGGAGGAAUACCGGUGGCGAAGGCGCCCCUCUGGACGGAAACUGACGCUGAGGCGCGCAAGCGUGGGGAGCAAACAGG